rnacentral:rRNA from 1 species
UACAGAGGUCUCAAGCGUUGUUCGGAUUCAUUGGGCGUAAAGGGUGUGUAGGUGGCGCCGUAAGUCGGGUGUGAAAUCUCGGAGCUUAACUUCGAAACUGCAUUCGAUACUGCGGUGCUUGAGGACUGGAGAGGAGACUGGAAUUUACGGUGUAGCAGUGAAAUGCGUAGAUAUCGUAAGGAAGACCAGUGGCGAAGGCGGGUCUCUGGACAGUUCCUGACACUGAGACACGAAGGCCAGGGGAGCAAACGGG